UUGACCUCAAAUCAGGUGGGACUACCCGCUGAACUUAAGCAUAUCAAUAAGCGGAGGAAAAGAAACUAACAAGGAUUCCCCUAGUAACUGCGAGUGAAGCGGGAAAAGCUCAAAUUUAAAAUCUGGCGACUUCGUCGUCCGAGUUGUAAUUUAGAGAAGCGUUUUCCGCGUCGGACCGUGUACAAGUCUCCUGGAACGGAGCGUCAUAGAGGGUGAGAAUCCCGUCUUUGACACGGACCCCGGUGCUCUGUGAUACGCUCUCGAAGAGUCGAGUUGUUUGGGAAUGCAGCUCAAAAUGGGUGGUGAACUCCAUCUAAAGCUAAAUAUUGGCGAGAGACCGAUAGCGAACAAGUACCGUGAGGGAAAGAUGAAAAGCACUUUGGAAAGAGAGUGAAACAGUACGUGAAAUUGCUGAAAGGGAAACGCUUGAAGUCAGUCGCGUCUGCCGGGAUUCAGCCUUAUGGUGUACUUUCCGGUGGACGGGCCAGCAUCACUUUUGAUCGCCGAAAAAGGGCAGGGGGAAUGUGGCACCUCCGGGUGUGUUAUAGCCCUCUGUCGUAUACGGUGGUCGGGAGUGAGGACCGCCUUUGUAGGAUGCUGGCGUAAUGGCUUUAAACGACCCGUCUUGAAACACGGACCAAGGAGUCUAACAUGCCCGCGAGUGUUCGGGUGGAAAACCCGUGCGCGUAAUGAAAGUGAAAGUUGGGAAGGCUGUCGUGGCCUGCACCGACGCCCGGACUUGAGAUUUAUCGACGGUUCUGCGG
rnacentral:rRNA from 1 species